CCAGACUCCUACGGGAGGCAGCAGUGGGGAAUAUUGCACAAUGGGGGAAACCCUGAUGCAGCGACGCCGCGUGAGUGAAGAAGUAUUUCGGUAUGUAAAGCUCUAUCAGCAGGGAAGAAAAUGACGGUACCUGACUAAGAAGCCCCGGCUAACUACGUGCCAGCAGCCGCGGUAAUACGUAGGGGGCAAGCGUUAUCCGGAUUUACCGGGUGUAAAGGGAGCGUAGACGGUGAUGCAAGUCAGAAGUGAAAGCCCGGGGCUCAACUCCGGGACUGCUUUUGAAACUGUGUAACUGGAGUGCAGGAGAGGUAAGCGGAAUUCCUGGUGUAGCGGUGAAAUGCGUAGAUAUCAGGAGGAACACCGGCGGCGAAGGCGGCCUGCUGGACCGUGACUGACGUUGAGGCUCGAGAGCGUGGGGAGCAAACAGGAUUAGAUACCCUCGUAUGA
rnacentral:rRNA from 1 species